GACGAACGCUGGCGGCGUGCCUAAUACAUGCAAGUCGAGCGAAUUUAUGAGAGCUUGCUCUCGUAAAUUAGCGGCGGACGGGUGAGUAACACGUGGGCAACCUGCCUAUAAGACUGGGAUAACUUCGGGAAACCGGAGCUAAUACCGGAUAAUUCACAUCUACUCAUGUAGAUGUGCUGAAAGACGGUUUACGCUGUCACUUAUAGAUGGGCCCGCGGCGCAUAGCUAGUUGGUGAGGUAACGGCUCACCAAGGCCACGAUGCGUAGCCGACCUGAGAGGGUGAUCGGCCACACUGGGACUGAGACACGGCCCAGACUCCUACGGGAGGCAGCAGUAGGGAAUCUUCCGCAAUGGACGAAAGUCUGACGGAGCAACGCCGCGUGAGUGAUGAAGGUUUUCGGAUCGUAAAACUCUGUUGUUAGGGAAGAACAAGUACCGGAGUAACUGCCGGUACCUUGACGGUACCUAACCAGAAAGCCACGGCUAACUACGUGCCAGCCGCCGCC
rnacentral:rRNA from 1 species